GAUGAACGCUGGCGGCGUGCCUAAUACAUGCAAGUCGAGCGAACGGACGAGAAGCUUGCUUUUCUGAUGUUAGCGGCGGACGGGUGAGUAACACGUGGAUAACCUACCUAUAAGACUGGGAUAACUUCGGGAAACCGGAGCUAAUACCGGAUAAUAUUUUGAACCGCAUGGUUCAAAAGUGAAAGACGGUCUUGCUGUCACUUAUAGAUGGAUCCGCGCUGCAUUAGCUAGUUGGUAAGGUAACGGCUUACCAAGGCAACGAUGCAUAGCCGACCUGAGAGGGUGAUCGGCCACACUGGAACUGAGACACGGUCCAGACUCCUACGGGAGGCAGCAGUAGGGAAUCUUCCGCAAUGGGCGAAAGCCUGACGGAGCAACGCCGCGUGAGUGAUGAAGGUCUUCGGAUCGUAAAACUCUGUUAUUAGGGAAGAACAUAUGUGUAAGUAACUGUGCACAUCUUGACGGUACCUAAUCAGAAAGCCACGGCUAACUACGUGCCAGCAGCCGCGGUAAUACGUAGGUGGCAAGCGUUAUCCGGAAUUAUUGGGCGUAAAGCGCGCGUAGGCGGUUUUUUAAGUCUGAUGUGAAAGCCCGCGGCUCAACCGUGGAGGGUCAUUGGAAACUGGAAAACUUGAGUGCAGAAGAGGAAAGUGGAAUUCCAUGUGUAGCGGUGAAAUGCGCAGAGAUGUGGAGGAACACCAGUGGCGAAGGCGACUUUCUGGUCUGUAACUGACGCUGAUGUGCGAAAGCGUGGGGAUCAAACAGGAUUAGAUACCCUGGUAGUCCACGCCGUAAACGAUGAGUGCUAAGUGUUAGGGGGUUUCCGCCCCUUAGCGCUGCAGCUAACGCAUUAAGCACUCCGCCUGGGGAGUACGACCGCAAGGUUGAAACUCAAAGGAAUUGACGGGGGCCCGCACAAGCGGUGGAGCAUGUGGUUUAAUUCGAAGCAACGCGAAGAACCUUACCAAAUCUUGACAUCCUUUGACAACUCUAGAGAUAGAGCCUUCCCCUUCGGGGGACAAAGUGACAGGUGGUGCAUGGUUGUCGUCAGCUCGUGUCGUGAGAUGUUGGGUUAAGUCCCGCAACGAGCGCAACCCUUAAGCUUAGUUGCCAUCAUUAAGUUGGGCACUCUAAGUUGACUGCCGGUGACAAACCGGAGGAAGGUGGGGAUGACGUCAAAUCAUCAUGCCCCUUAUGAUUUGGGCUACACACGUGCUACAAUGGACAAUACAAAGGGCAGCGAAACCGCGAGGUCAAGCAAAUCCCAUAAAGUUGUUCUCAGUUCGGAUUGUAGUCUGCAACUCGACUACAUGAAGCUGGAAUCGCUAGUAAUCGUAGAUCAGCAUGCUACGGUGAAUACGUUCCCGGGUCU
rnacentral:rRNA from 1 species